GAUGAUCUCAUCAGCCAAAUGAGGGGUUUUGACCAAGUGAUGCUCUUGAAAGGAGUGAAAGAAGAGGAUGUGCUAAAUUCUCUUCAGAGAAAAAGCUUCUCAAAAGGUCUCAAAACAGCUUGAAGAAUGGUCUGGGAUGUUAGGACUGAGAGAUCCUCUGGCUGAGAACAAGCUACACCACAUCAGUGCUGGAUAUCAGCCACAAACUGUUUCCAGACACGAGAGAAGAAGAACACGAUGGGGAGAUGAAACCAGUUUAGAUGUGAUGAUGGGAAUCAUUAUUUUCUGGAACAGUAUCUCAUGUCUUAUAUGUAUCACAUGAUCUGUAUCACAGUUGACUGGAUGGGACUGUGUGACUUUUAAGGACAUUUCAUCACUCAUCUGUGUGAACUGAUUUAUAUAUGAGGUUAAUGUAUUUUUGAUGAUAAUUAUUUUCAUUGAAUCUUAUUCGUCUUGAUGCUACUUUAUCAACUUUAUAGUCUAUGCUUCAAUAAAAUGAAAAUGGUGAA